rnacentral:lncRNA from 1 species
GAAGGUGUUGAUCAGCCAAUUGUGAAGACAGCAACCAUAACUGAACCCCGAGGCAAUGAGGAGGCUCAGAUUUUCCGACCCUUGAAAUUCAAUACCACAUCUGUUAUCAAGAUUGCUGUGGAGCCAGUCAACCCCUCAGAGCUGCCCAAAAUGCUUGAUGGCCUGCGCAAGGUCAACAAGAGCUACCCGUCUCUUACCACCAAGGUGGAAGAGUCUGGUGAGCACGUGAUCCUGGGCACUGGGGAGCUCUACCUGGACUGCGUGAUGCACGACCUUCGGAAGAUGUACUCCGAGAUCGACAUCAAGGUGGCUGACCCAGUUGUGACGUUUUGUGAGACCGUGGUAGAGACAUCCUCCCUCAAAUGCUUUGCUGAAACACCCAAUAAGAAGAACAAGAUCACCAUGAUUGCUGAGCCUCUUGAGAAGGGCCUCGCUGAGGACAUAGAGAACGAGGUGGUCCAGAUCACCUGGAACAGGUUGGAACAGGGCCCACACUACGGAUUUCUUGCCUGGUCUCCUGACACCAUCCCUCCUUCGCUGUUGUCUCGGCUGUGGUGUGGGUAGAGUGGGUUACUGUCUUACGGAAAGGCAGGCUCUAUGGCCCCAGGAACCUUUCUCUUUCCUCCAGAAAGAAGCUGGGAGAGUUCUUCCAAACAAAGUACGACUGGGAUCUGCUGGCCGCCCGUUCUAUCUGGGCCUUUGGUCCUGAUGC